rnacentral:lncRNA from 1 species
GGGUUCCGACGGCGGGUCCUUCCUCCAUGGCCCGCUCGGCCGCUUCCGGUGCUGAGCGAUUGCGUUAGGGUCUGAGAUGCCUGCUUCCGGCGCCUCCUAAAGACGUCACGCCCCUAACAAGUAGCCAAGCCUACUAUCCACAUGCCCAGAGAGCCCGCAGUGCUUCUGGCUGGCUUGUCCGAAUUAGAGAAGAAAAACAACUUUGAGCAACAAAAUAGAGAAAACUACAAGCUGCUUCAGUUCUCCAUCAUGUCAGUCCAUCUGGGUCAGCUGACUGGAGUCCAUCGCUGUGAACCUGAAACACAUCGCGGGGAGAACUUGCCACGGAGACAGAGAAUAUCAGCCUUUCAUAGCCUAGGAUUAAAAAAAAUAAUAAAGAAAGAAAUACUA